GAGAGAGAUCAUGUGGUAUCUGCCUUUCUGUGCCUGGUUUAUUUCACUUAGCCUUAUGUCCUCCAGGCUCAUCCAUGUUGCUGUGAAUGACAGGAUUUCAUUCUUUUCCCACGAGUUUUUAAUCUUGUUAAGGACAUUUUAACUGUCAUUAACUACAGUGUAUAUUGUCUCUGCUUCUAGACUGUCAUCUCCUCAAGGACUAUGUGUUUUAGCUAAAUUCCUUGCAUGCAGUGGGCCUUAGAAGCUGGGCAAUUUCAGAAAUGAAAAUCACACUGUGAAAGUUAUUCACAGUUUAGUAUUAAGUGAAAGAAGUUAAGUGGGAAGCUAAUUUGCUCAUUUUAAAAAAUGGGGCUACUUGGGAAAAUAUUUUAAAUGGCAUUUUAAGUGUUGGGAUUUCAGGUGAAAUUUCUUAUCUUAUUUUUGUUUUUUGGUUUUCUUCAUUUUCUGCCAUGAAUAUUAUUUGUUUUGUAAUGAAAAGGUAUAUAUAAAAAAUUGAUUGUGAGUUCAAACAAUGCUAUCUGUCAGCAUUAAGCAUGAAAGUACACUAAAGAAACAUUUUGGUCUUGGUUUGGCUGCUAUUUUACAAAAGCAUUCACUAAUUUUUUUUUUUUUUUGAAUGAGAAAACAUUUAUUCCAUCUCCAAACAGCAUCCCAGGGCCGGGCAUCUCCCCUACGACUUUAUAAUACACUCGGCACAGACAGAGUUUGGGAGCCAUGGGACACCUCUGCCCUCCCCAGGCUUCCUAAGUAACAACUGCAGAAUAUUUACAUAAAGCUGGGUGUUGUCAGGCAAAGCCAUUCCCUGCUGCCAGGGGUGGGAGCAAGAAGGAAGUGCCAUGAGCACCAGCCCCGCCUUCACACCGUGGGAGGCAGCCCAGAGGCCACCGGCACAGGGUGGUGGCCCCCAGAUCAUACAGCAGUGGACACAGGGGAAGCAAACCUGAGUGAGGACACAAGAGCCUGGUCCGGCUCCGCUGCACAGGAGAAACAUAAUUGAGGUGGAAGGAUCCAGAAGAAAGGAACCAGUGAUGAUGAGGACAGAGGGCUCUCCACGGGAAGGUGGGAGAGAAUUUAGUUCUCUGUGCCGUGAAGAUGGGAUUGGAGCCAUACAUAUUGCCACCAGUUCACUGAGAGGAGUCAUUGAAAACAUGGCAUUGAGGACAGAGACUGCCACUUCAGAAUUUUCUACAUCCAACUGCUGAAGCCACUCGAAGAUAUUUCCCUCAGAGAACCAUAACCAGCUUUGGAGAAGAUGCUUCCACAUAGCUUGUUUCACAGCAUCUCAUCUCUCAUUAAAACCUUGUUGAGGGAGCAUUACUGUCUGAGCAAUGGACAUAGCUCUCAUACGAACCUUUUCAGCUAACACCGGAUAAGCCAGCUUUCUGACAGCCUCUUUCACAUCCUUGGUGCACCCUACAAUUUUUGGCAAAGUCUUUGCUGAUGGUGCAAUACAUGAUAA
rnacentral:lncRNA from 1 species